GCUAGGAUUCAAGUGGAAAGGAAAACGAACAAGGGAAACGAAUAGGGUUAAACUCAGAUUUUGCUAAGCAACUCAGGAAAAGGUAAGAACAAA